rnacentral:misc_RNA from 1 species
GAUACUUGUGUUUUUGUUUCCAGUUCCAGAGAUACGAAGAUGGUCAGUACAAAGAAACUCAUCAACAUGGCCAAGAGAUGGCAGAACUUUGCAGCCAAGCAGAGGAAGAGGAUUUCAUUUCCGAGAAAUGGAAGUGAAGCAAAGGGCUACAGUAUAUCCUCACCUCUAGAGUUGAAAGGGGUCAUUUUCUGGUAUAUACAGCUGAUCAAGCACGGUUUGUCCUUCCGUUGACUUACCUUGAAAAUGAGGCUGUUGCACAACUUUUAAACAUGUCUGAAGAAGAGUUUGGGCUACCGAGUGGUGGCCAUAUUACAUUACCCUGUGAUUUAGG